ACGGAAGGCAGCAGUGGGGAAUAUUGGGCAAUGGGCGAAAGCCUGACCCAGCAACGCCGCGUGAAGGAAGAAGGUCUUCGGAUUGUAAACUUCUUUUAUGGGGGACGAAGAAAUGACGGUACCUCAUGAAUAAGCCACGGCUAACUACGUGCCAGCAGCCGCGGUAAUACGUAGGUGGCAAGCGUUGUCCGGAUUUACUGGGUGUAAAGGGCGUGUAGGCGGAGAUGCAAGUCAGAAGUGAAAUCUAGGGGCUUAACCCCUAAACUGCUUUUGAAACUGUAUCCCUUGAGUAUCGGAGAGGCAGGCGGAAUUCCCAGUGUAGCGGUGAAAUGCGUAGAUAUUGGGAGGAACACCAGUGGCGAAGGCGGCCUGCUGGACGACAACUGACGCUGAGGCGCGAAAGCGUGGGGAGCAAACAGGAUUGGAUACCCUGGUA
rnacentral:rRNA from 1 species